rnacentral:rRNA from 1 species
ACGGAGGGCGCAAGCGUUAAUCGGAAUUACUGGGCGUAAAGCGUGCGUAGGCUGUUUGGUAAGUCAGGCGUGAAAGCCCUCGGCUCAACCGGGGAACUGCGCUUGAUACUGCCGGACUCGAGUCCCGGAGAGGGUGGCGGAAUUCCAGGUGUAGGAGUGAAAUCCGUAGAUAUCUGGAGGAACACCGGUGGCGAAGGCGGCCACCUGGACGGGUACUGACGCUGAGGCACGGAAGGGUGGGGAGGGGGGGG